rnacentral:tRNA from 1 species
GGGUAGCGUAAUUGGUAGCGCAAUAACUGGGAACUCCCAGUCAUUGGUAUAGGUUCGAAUCCUGUUCUUGCCA